CAUGUUGGGUUGUGGGUUGAGAGGUGGAUUUUCAAUGCCUUCGAAUCGAUUUAUUAUAGUUUCUACGUCUAGAUGACCAAAAGAAUAAACUUUUCCACUAGGUGAAAACACAAAAAUAGCGACCUCAGCAUCACAAAGUGUACAAAGCUCACAAGCCUUUUUGAAAAGACCAUUUUUUCUUUUAGAAAACGUAACUUGAAGGUUAUUUUCUUUAUCCAUUUUGACCAUUUUUGUUUUUUGACGACCUUUACUUUUUUUCAUCAUUUCUUUAGAGAUAACUGGAACAAUAAAAUAUUGGUUGAUGUUUUUAUGAAGGAACUUUGUGUAUUUAUAGCUAAAUGUCAGAUACCAGCAAUUAGUAUUUUGAGUUAUCUAGAAACAAGGUCAAUUCAAAUUUGCUAGUUUUAUAUUUGAAUAUCAAUUUUACCAUUCUGAUACAUUUCAAUAUCUUUUUAUUCCAUCAAUAUAAGGUAUGCAAUUCAUAUUUAUUUGACUAUAAUAUUUUCAUUUAGUUUGUUUCAAUCUAUCAUAAUCUGUUAUAGUAUUAAAUCCCUCAACUAAAGAUGGUGAUAGAACAACCUCUCAACUAAAUAUUCGAUGAAAGAAAUACAAAACUUUAAUUUCAUUAACGUAUGUCACCUUCCGUCAUAGUAUUUUAGAUGGAGGGUGAAAUACAUUAACGAUUUGUAAGAUAAGAGUUUUUAAUGUUGAAAACUUAGUUGACGAGUUUUAUCACUAAAAAUUUGAUAAAUGUUUUAAAACUCUUAUAUAUAGUCAAUUAAUAUAGUUUUUGAAAAGAGAUUUUACAUUUGUCUUGGAGUUUUGUAAGAUAUAAUCAGAAAACUUAUAUUUUUAAUUUAAUACAGCACUUUUCAUUGCAAAUAUAUAUUAUAUUUCGUUUUUAUAAAUAUUGUUCGUGAGUAGCACCGGAGAUAAUACAAGUUAUAACUAAUAGGGAUAUCACAUCAGUGGGAAAAUGUUAUUAAGAAAAAUUGUAAUACUUUCAAUACACUGGAGACAUAAUAUGAAAACAAACAUUUGUACCAAUUGACACAAGAAAAUAUUAAAUCAAAAAGUAUAAUAUUAUAUUUUUCAAUACAUUUCUAUAGAAUACACGUUUUAUUUUACGUCCUAUAGAAUACACGUUAAGGAUACUAUAUAUGUCAUAUAUUAUAUAUUAUUAUAUUUUUUCUAUUGCCAAAAUAUAUCAUAUUUCAAUUCCUAUCAGGAAGGGCUUAAUAUUCAUAGGAGACAAGAAAAUGAAAAAUAUACCCAAUGCUACAGUUACAGGAAAUGGAUGGGACAAUUAGAACACAAUUUUUCCCUUUCUCUCCUUGGCAGCGCGUGAAACUGACAAGGGAAGCUAAAAGACAUGAUUCUUUUCUUUUUUUAAGUCACAUCUAUAUCAUAACAAAAAUAAAUUAUUUUAAAAGGAUAAGUUCUCGCCUAUUAUUUUAAAAUAUAAUCAUAAUUAUUAUAUCUUCUUUUAAAUUAAGCGUCUAUACACACUUAAGUCACUUAUACAAAUGUUAACACUAUACUACAUAUAAUAUAGUAUGGUCACCGUAGAACCAGAUGAGCUCACGUCAAAGGUGUAUAUGGUUCUAGUUGCAUAUAUGUUGUAGACGAAGGUAUAACAGAUGGAAGCUAGGUGUUGGGAGAAUGUAUUUUAGGAUGCAAGAAGCAACUAUUAUAGAACUGACGAUAGGGGUAGCGAAACUUUUGGAGGUAAUAUAUACAAAUUUGAUAUUUAAGUGUAUUCAAGCAGCUGACUAACUAAACAAUGAAAAGUCAUAGUGUAUAGUCGGAUAAUAAUAGCCGUACAGAGCACAUCACAUAUUACAUAAGUUGCACAAAUAGUAAACGCAAUGGGGUGGCUCGGUUAGACGCAUGUCAACUUCGAUUCAAUAAAAUAUGCAUAGACAAUUUUUGAACGUAAAGGACACAAAAUUAGAGGACUGUCCUAUGUUAGCGACGUAUGUGUCAACGAAAAGCUAUCAAAUAUUACUAUACUAUAUUUCAUUUAGUAUAACCAUAGGCAUCACUUAACACCAUACAAUACUAUACUUUACAAUAUGUAGUAUAGUAGUGUAAGAAUGACCUUUUUAUUUGACUAUGUUAUGUACAAUAGACCACACUUGGGCUUAUGAGUUGCAAAAAUGUGUUAGCUGCCGUUAGAAGAAGAAAAGGCUAUAACUAGUGAACUUAAGGGGUCCCAAAUGGUGGAAUCUAACAUAGAAGAACUGUAUAUAGACAAACUGUUGUGUAUACAGGUUGACAUAUAUACUAUAUUAAAAAUGUUAUAAUAAUGGAAGUUCUCUACUAUGUCACAAUACAAUUGUACUUCUUUGUUGCAUAAAAUACGUAGGAACCUAUAUAUUUAUUACAUUGUGCAACUAGACAAGGAAAAAGUUGACAAACAUGACUGAACAUGUAUGCGUUCCUAUUAGCAUUAUUUUCUGAACUGUGAUUCCCCCAACUACUCCAUCUGAGCAUCGGAAAGGGGCUGCUUUUAUCACUUCUAUCUCUCGAAUAUUAGAAUUGGUGUUUAUUCUUUUCCGACCGGUUGGUUCGAACUCUGUCUGAUACAAACACACUGUGAAGUCUUACUCCUCCAUCCAACAAAUGAAAAAUAAAUACAUAUGCGUAGAGUGAACAAAAUGUUAAAGUCGCAACACAUUUGGUAAGCAACGACAAUACAAAACUGGCAUAUAUAGUUUACAAUCCUUUAUAUACUAAAGCACAAGUCACUUAACAAAUCAAAUUUUGACAAAUGGAAAAUGUUUUAUUUAAAAAAUAAGAGUUUGAUUAAAAUAAAUUCAUCAUCCCUAAUUUUUAGCAACUUCAUCCUAAAUUUUCUUAAAUAUCACAUUCACGUUGUUGAAUUGUCAUGGUUCAUGAUUUCAAACCGUUUUUUUUUCAUAUAUAAAAUUUAAUCUCUAAUUUAAUUUCUGCUUUCUUUCCCCCUUUUUCUACCAUCUCCAUUAUCAGUUGUGCUCUCUACGAUUCUUCAUAUAUAUUUUUGGAGCAAUUUAAAACUUUUUUUAUUUAUUGCAUGGAUUAUACUUCAAAAUACAUUAUCAACAAAAUUUUAGAUAGAUACAGUGGAAUUAUGGGAAGAGGCUGAUACUGGUACUUUGAUUUUGAAGAAAUUCAAUUUUACAGAUCAUGGAGUUAACAGUUUGGAAAGAUGGGAUGGAGUAUAGACAAAGUUAUUCUCGUGGAAAGCCAUGAGUACAACCUAAAAACAUGAUUUUUGUCUUCAACUGCACCACAUCAGAAAUCAUUAAUAUUAAUCAGAUCUAGGGUCAGGAGAAUGGCCAUCAUGAUGAUGUUCAUUUCCAGCUUCAUUUUCUUCUUUGGAACUCGGGUUUUGGUUUCCAGUUGGAUUAGGCUCUGGUAUGUAAUUGUAUCCCGGAACAAAUCCCUCAGCAUGACCGUAGUUUCCAAAUGGUAAUGGAUGAUUGGGGAGAGCCAUGUUAUGGUUGUAGAAAUUAUUCAUGUUCACCAUUCUUCUUUGAUCAAACAGGUUCAUAUUUGGAUUGAUAUUAAUACCACCAUCAACCCCAAAAAGAGCAUUACUAGAGCUUCCCACAUAGAAACUUGGAUGAGGAUAUCUUCCUUCCAACAUUUUGAAAGCUUCAUGUCUCACUUGUUUCUUCAGAUUUUCAAGUUUACCUUUGAAUUCUUUGGCUUGACCUAAGUCAAGUCCUCCAAUGGAAUCUUUCAACCAAAUCUCAGGGACUUUGGAAUUUUUUCUUUUGUUCUUCAAGUCUUCAGUCUUUUUUUGCUCUAAUUCUAGUUGGUUCAUCAGCUGAAAAUGUAAAAACGUAUUAUAAACAAUUAUGUAUAAACCCUAGUAGGUAUUCAAAAAUUAUUUUUCAAUAAACAUAAAAUAAUACAAAAGAAUAUCACUUAUGGAAUCAAUAUCCAUGCCAUAUGAUUCCACACCAUAUUCAUAAAUAUUGAAAAAUGGUUACAACUCGUAGAUCAGGGUUUUUAUAAUUUUCUCAAACAUAACAAAAUUUAUAAAUAACACAAUAAAAUUUACCUCAGUAAGAUCAUUGUUCAGAUCUUGAAUCGGAGAGUUUCGAUGGAUUUCAUCAAGUUGCAUGUUGGGUUGUGGGUUGAGAGGUGGAUUUUCAAUGCCUUCGAAUCGAUUUAUUAUAGUUUCUACGUCUAGAUGACCAAAAGAAUAAACUUUUCCACUAGGUGAAAACACAAAAAUAGCGACCUCAGCAUCACAAAGUGUACAAAGCUCACAAGCCUUUUUGAAAAGACCAUUUUUUCUUUUAGAAAACGUAACUUGAAGGUUAUUUUCUUUAUCCAUUUUGACCAUUUUUGUUUUUUGACGACCUUUACUUUUUU
rnacentral:lncRNA from 1 species